rnacentral:rRNA from 1 species
UACAGAGGGGGCGAGCGUUGUUCGGAAUUACUGGGCGUAAAGGGCGCGUAGGCGGCCAACUAAGUCAGACGUGAAAUCCCUCGGCUCAACCGGGGAACUGCGUCUGAUACUGGAUGGCUUGAAUUCGGGAGAGGGAUGCGGAAUUCCAGGUGUAGCGGUGAAAUGCGUAGAUAUCAGGAGGAACACCCGUGGCGAAAGCGGCUCUCUGGGACGGUACUGACGCUGAGACGCGAAAGCGUGGGGAGCAAACAGG